rnacentral:siRNA from 1 species
UCCGGGUAUUUUCGGGUUCGG